CGGGACUGGCGGGGCUCGAACCCGCAGCUUC
rnacentral:tRNA from 1 species